rnacentral:rRNA from 1 species
AGGACGAACGCUGGCGGCGUGCUUAACACAUGCAAGUCGAACGGAAAGGCCCGCUUGCGGGUACUCGAGUGGCGAACGGGUGAGUAACACGUGGGCAACCUGCCCUCAGCUCUGGGAUAACUCCGGGAAACCGGUGCUAAUACUGGAUAUCGACUUCUGCCUCGCAUGGGGUGUUGUUGAAAGUUUUCGGCUGGGGAUGGGCCCGCGGCCUAUCAGCUUGUUGGUGGGGUGAUGGCCUACCAAGGCGACGACGGGUAGCCGGCCUGAGAGGGCGACCGGCCACACUGGGACUGAGACACGGCCCAGACUCCUACGGGAGGCAGCAGUGGGGAAUAUUGCGCAAUGGGCGGAAGCCUGACGCAGCGACGCCGCGUGAGGGAUGACGGCCUUCGGGUUGUAAACCUCUUUCAGCUCUGACGAAGCGAGAGUGACGGUAGGAGCAGAAGAAGCACCGGCCAACUACGUGCCAGCAGCCGCGGUAA